UCUUGUAGUGAAGGGCCCAGAACUGAACAAAUGAUCUGUCCUUGUUUAAACAACAAAAACAUUUCUGGUUUUUUUGCAUUCUUCUAGGUGCCCCUGGGUGCUUUUUUUUUGCCCUCAUAUGCCUCCGAGGACUGCAGUUAGGAAGAUGUGGGUUUCAUUUUCUGCUUUGUAUUUUCUCAUUGCUCACUGUCUCACGCCACCCCAGGCGUUACUGCAGCAAGCCACAACCAUGCGGCUUGACAGCCUGUUCUUUACAUGUCUUGGUGUGAACCUGAUCAAGAUGAGCCUUCUGCUGAAAAAUCUACCUUGUUGGGAUUGUUAUUGCUGGAGUGGUGUCAUAGAGGAACCCCCACUGUGCUGCUGCAGCUGAGCGUGGGUUGGUCUCUGUGAGCUGUGUGAGUCCUUGGGGUGGCUGUGCUGGCCUUGGUGUCUGCUGAGUCUGUGCUGCCCAUGGCUUGGCCACAACAUCGUUCUAUGGCAGUGACUGCUGGCAUCUAACCACCAUGUAAGGAGCUGCAGACUCAGCUGUAACUUGAGAUUGUGCAUCUGGUGGAGUGAGGGAAGAAGGUGGGGGGGGGGAGGUUUCUCCAGCCAUAGCACACUUUCUUUUUCUGUCCCUUUUUUUUUUCUUGGUUAGCCCAAGGCUGAAGUAGCAGCUUUCCAUUCAGUCAGGUUGAGAGGUUUUAUAAUGUAGUUUUGAGAAAUGUGCCUGGAGCCCCAAUGAAGGGUCUGUGAGAAGAAUGUAUGUGUGUGUGUUUGCCGUGGUGGGCUUUCCUUUUUUAUUGUUUUUUUCUUCUGGUUUUGCUGGGUUGCUGCCAAACCUUUUGGCUAUGUUUUUUAAGAUGUGUUUUUUUCCACAAGUAGCCUUAGAGUUGUAACUUAUCCUGGUUAAAGCCACAGAAUGGUCCUGUUUUCAGAGAGAACGUUUCACUCAGCUGAGGCAAGGAGAGGAGAGGGAGAGAAAGGAGCGUGGGGUGGGUGGGUCAGGAGGAUGGUAGUUGGUGGUAGAGAAGCCUAUGGUCCUUCAGGUCUUAUAUGUAUCUUGACAGGAUGACAAGGCAACAAAGAGUUGGGCCCAAGAGGAAUGAAUUAGCUGUGAAACACUUGUGUGGGGUUAUAGAAACACAGAGCUGCGCUGUGCUGGAAGCUUUGGGGGAGACUGAAGUUGCUCUGCCUGUGCCAUCAGAAAUCAAUCCCAGGCUGCUUCAGCACUAUUCUCCAACGGGGUUAGGAAGGUAUGGAAGCUCUCAUGCAGCUCUGCUGCUGGGCAGACCUUUCUCUGCAGAAGAUGAAGGGUGUGAGGGGUCAGGUGGGAACACAACCACUGCAGAUUGGUCCCCUGGGGGCCUUUUGCUGUAAGGCUAUGAGGACAGAGGCUGGGUGGUGAGGUUGGUGCUGUGCAGGUGGCAAAUGGCUCGCGGGCAAGGAGAUGCUUUGCAUCCUCUUGCAUCUUAUGUCUCAGAAUUUCCUAUAGUGCUCCACUCUGUUAGAAGAGAACAAUGGAGCAAUGUGCUGCCAUAGUGCUUCCAGGGCAAGUCUGUUGAGGAAGUUUUCCUCAACUAUGCAAGUGCUUUACAGGCAAACAACUUCCACUUCUCCUGGGAUGCCCCCUCUGAAGCAGUGUGCCUUCGUUCCUUCGUGUUAGCUCCGAGUUGGCUUAGAAAUCUGACAUUCAGUUUUCUUCCUGUGAUAAAGUAUUUUAAAUCUGGAAAUAAAAGAUGCUUUAGUCUCACUUGAUGCCAUUCUGCAUUCAAACUGCUUUUUGCAACCCCUGCCUGUUUCGCAUGUCCUUCAGCCCUGGCCUUUGGCAUCUAACACAGAGCAAAAUCACUCCUGGGGCUCUAAACCUUCCUUAACUGCUGAGAAGCCACUGUGCUAAGUCUGCCUGCUGCAGGCAUUCAGCCCUUUGCUUCUGCUUCCCCGCUUCCUCCUCUUCUUCCAGCAGAUAAUGGGAUGACAGUCCUGUUGCACAGGGCAGGAAAAGGCAAUCAUGGCUCUCCAGCAAUGCUUUCUAAGGCAGGAGCAGUGCAAAGGGCUCGAGGUGAAUGUGGGAGAGGCGAUGCAGCAGGCAGGAAGGACUGGCCCCAUGUCCCUGCAGGCAAAAAGGGGUAGUUCAUAGUGCUGUGGGGUAGUGAUAUCGACACCCCUCACCUGCUUUUUAAGAAUACAUACACAGUUUAGAACAAACACAAGCCUGUUUCCCUAGCAGGUUGUAUUGAGAAAUGCAAACAGGAAAGCAGAGUCCAGAUUACUUCUGCAACCCAGACAGGAAACAGAAUACCACAAGCAGCAGUUUUGAGCAUGUUUUUUGGAGGUUUCUUGCUUUUCUUUGUUCAUUAUGUCUUUUCCUGUAGGUUUCUAAACGUAGCAAUGUGCUUAUAAAUGAUGCUGAGCCUGGAUUGUUGGUAAAGGAAGAGGAGCUGCUCCCCACCAUCCCUGGAGCCUGUCCUCAUGUGGGAUGCUGCCCCAGACCCCUCCUUGGGGAUCACAGUGGCAGCAAAGCCCCACGGGGUGGCUGUGAAGCAGGAGGUGAACUGGUGUCCAGCCUCACGCCGGCUGUCCAUCCUCAUUGUAGGGCUGGGAGGGCAUUCAUUGCUUGGACUUCCAACCAAGUGUGAAAAUCCACAGGUCAAGGGUUGGAAAAAAGGCUGCUAUUAGCGUUAUUUUAAGCGCAAGAGGAUGAAUUGGUGAGUGCUGGGAGCAAUGUGGAAAAGCAAGAGAGGCGGUGUCUCCUCGCUGCCCCUUCGUGGGGCGGUGAUGCCGAGGAGAGGGGAUCGCUGCCCGAUUUGAAAGUGAAUAGGGCCGUGACCAAUCGCUGUGAAAUGUGGCAAUAAUGCCUCGCGCAGUGGCCGUGGGAUAAAAGGCAGGGACAGCCUGAACUGUAAAGAUGUUUCAUUUCCCUGGUAAUGAGGGAGACACACUGUGGCAAUGGAACCAGAGAGAGAGAGCCCGAGAGAUGCUAAUUUCUGCUCCUGCUGUCGCUGCCGCUUUGAUCUGAAGCAAAUGCCCGUUUUAAAUUGCAAACGGAUGCAAGUCAGAUAUCAUCCAGCCACCGGCUUACAGGCUUAAUGAAGUGGGACAUACGCCUCGGCCUGAUAAUGUUCCGAGGGGCAGGCGACUUGGAGUGGAAUUACUGAGGGUCUGAGGAGAUGGGAGGAAGGCUGGGGAUGUCAUGGGGGAAAUCACCACCAGGGGCACAAAGCCCUCCUGCUUGGUGUUCUCAGCAAGCUGUGGCAACAGGAAAGAUGAGCAUGUUGCCCUGCUGUUAAUGUGUCCUAUUUUUUAUGGUAACUUGAACAGGCCAUCGAGGUUAUGGUGCUCUUGGAGCAUGGACAUCAAUUUGGUGCUCACCAGAUAGGGCAAACUUAUGGAAGAGUAACCAGCUCAUUUUAUGCCAUCGUUUGGGUGCUUAAUCAGACUUCAGAAAGAAAAUAUGUGUUAAGACUCUGAUGAUGAGGCUGCUCUGGGACAGACCCAGAGGCCCUGGGGAACAAGUCCACCAUACCAGCAGUGAUCCGGGAGCAUGGUAGCUCACACUGGUCUCUUCCCAUUACCCCACAAGGCUUUUGUUUCUGCAAAUGCUUUCAGAUGGCUUCCCCUUUGGUAGAGUAAAUCAUGUUAAUCUGUAGAAUGUGAGGCAAGAUGAAGUUUUUAGAUUAUGCUUUAUUUUUCUAUGGCAUUUUGUGCUUAAGGACAUCACGCCAUCACAUUGCAAUACAUAGUUGAGAAUUUUCUCUGCUUGACAAAUGAGGGGACUCGGAUGCAGCAGUUUGCUAUGAAACAGUGAGGAGAGAAAAAAUAAAUCAGAAAUCUCUAUUCUAGAGAAGGAGGCAGGAAGAAAAGCUGACUCCAGUACUGAGAAUUAAAGAGAAAAGCCUCUGCUGGACCCAAAAUAAGUCUCCAUAGAAACAGCUUAUUCUGAAAAUGAAUUACUGCAGUAUGAAAUGAAGAUUGUGGGUCUAGUUCUGCAAAAUAUUUAAGCAUGUUCUUUGCUUAUCCCUAUUCAGCUCAGGAUGCAAGCAUGUGAUUUCCAUGGGUGCUUAUGUGCUUUAUUUGAUGGAGGUAGGAAUAUGAACGAGCGUUGUUGAAUGGAGAUCUGGACUUUCUUGUGCUUCCUCAUGUCUGACCAAUUUACAACUUAUUUUUUAAUGCCAACACAUGUUGCUUGGUUGCCAAAAUUACAGACAGCAGCACAGAGACCACAGCGCUUCAUUUUCGGAGUUCAGCGCAAGGUUCCAGUAGAUUCUUCUCAUUAACAGGGAGUGGAGUCAACAGAGUGUUUACAUUGCUGGGUACUUUACUGUUCUGUUAAUUAACUCUUGCUGCAUUUGCAUGCAGAUUUAAAUUUAUAUGGGAUAUUUAUUCUGUAAAUUAACAACAUGGUGAUCAUCUGAUAAUUAACUUGGGAGUCAAUGGCAUGAGAGGUUGAGAUUUAUUCCUAAUCUAUCUUUUGUGCACCUCUAUUUAUGGUCUAAGGACAUUUUUAAGACGGGGUAGGUUCUUAAUAUCUUGCAUGCUAAUUUGCUUUUAUUGUGAAUGCGUGCUCGCAAACAAUUGUUUUUAGCUUAAGCUAUUUGAGACUGCUUUGUGCAUCUCUUUUUUCCUUCUGUUGUGACUUUAUGUUCAGCCAAAUUAAUAGGACAAAUAAGGUCUGACUCAGAGCUUUAUUCCUGUUUACUAUGCUUGGUAUAGGCGAAGUUUUUGCAUAGCUAAGCUGUGGCUGCUCUUCUUCAUAGGAACUUUCCAUCUCCUUACUGCUUCUUAUUUCUCAUCAACUUCUGACUUAUUUAUUUGGGGGGGGGGGGGGGUAUCCGUUUGUAGACAGGCCAUCUAAACAUUUCCCAGUGUCACUGCAGUGCCCUGCAUAGUGAAUUUAAGGUCAUCAAUGACAGGGCUUUGGGUCUGACUUCAGAAGAACAAGUUAUAUUCAUGGAAAUUUGCCUAGAUUGUGUCCCUUCCUCUGAUCAUCUCUGCUAGACCCAGCCAAAACAAGCUCUCAAGACAUGUCAACAAUCCAUCUUAAUAUAAUGUUCAGCACAGAAACUGUUGACCUGCCGUUGAGCCAACAUGAAUGGUCUCUCUCCUGUGUGAUCCUUCAGCCCUUCCAAGGCUGUCCCUGUGAUGGGCUUUAAAUGUACCAAGCUGGAUGUUGUCACUUUGUUGAGGCUCCUGCUGGAACCCCGGUCUUCAGCAGGGGAAUCAUCUCCAGCUUAAACUGUCCCUUGGCCCUGUUGGGCUUGAGUUUUCUCUUAUUGCUGGAAAGUAUUCUUUUUCAGAACCUUCUCUGAUGUGGAGAUGAAAUACGUGCAUCCUCUCCCAGAGGUUCAGCUGCUCCUUGCGAAUUCGUGAAAUCCACACUCAUUUUACAGUCUUCCUCCUCUCCUCUGUGCUUUGGGACAGACUUUCUUUUUAUUUGCCCAUGCCCGCUAUUCCGUCAUCUGAAGUGCAUGCUGGAGAUGGCAGCAGUUAUAGCUCAUUUUGCAGUGGUUCUCAACUCCAAGCCUUUCAGGGGCUGUGAAAAAGAUGCUAUCUAAGGAAAUCACAUCCUAAGCCCAGCCAGGGUAAAGCAGGUGCCUCACAGACGCUCUUUCCUCUUGGAUGCUUUCAGAUCCUGAGGAGGCCUGUAACCCGUGUAGAGUCCAAAGUGAUGGAUAGAUUUACACAAAAGGAGCAACGGCUGUUGCCCUUUUGCCACCUCUUCAGAUCCCAAGGAUCUCCAUUUCUACAUAGCACUGACAUGAGCAAUGAAGUGCUGCCUGAACACGAGGUGUUCAGUGAGGUCCUAUUCCUCACUGGUUAGAGCCUAAGAGGCCCCACUGGGUUUGGGCUGACUCCCUGGAGGCUGAAGCGGAGAGGGAGCUAUGCUUCCACUGGCCAUCGGUAAUGACUAACCAGUGAAGAAGUCAAUUCUGCUUGGCCUUGUCCUGUGUUGGGUUUUCUUAGGUCCCCCCAGAGCUGCCUCGUGCCCAUGAAUCCAGCCAUGGUGCCAAGCGUAUCCUCAUCCCCACAUAUGGCUCCAUUGGGCCAUACACAUGGCCCACUGCUUCUGCCUCCUCAGUUGGGCACAUCUCCCUUCUGAGCCUGCGAAGCCUGCUGUUGGUGUGCCAAGCUGAAGUCAUGGAAAUAAAUAGAAAUUUAUUUUUAACCAAGUGUGAGAUCUCUCAUUCUUAGCUUUCCCCCCCCCCAUAAUUGGUUCUGUUUUUACUAAUGAUUUGGAAUUUAGCAUCUAUUCCUGUCUGAGAGUGUUACUUUGUUAGCUGGUAUUAGAGAAGGAGAUUAAGGCUGUUGUUAGCAGUGGAGGCUGUAGGACAUAUGGGUAAUGCAGACCUGCUAGUGACAGAGUUGUUUUGAGGUAGUGGGACAGAUUGCCUGACUUAGCAGCAGUGAAAUGGUGAUGAGGUAAGUAGUGCUGGGAAAAUCCUAUUAGGGAAGGAGAACAGCACACUGGAACCAAGCGAUCACAAGGUGCAUGGUACCAAAUGCGUUGUUUCUCUAAGAAAUCAAAUUCACAUUAGUUGCACAGUGGGGACUCAUCUCUCUCCAAACUGCACUUGCUCUGUGAGCAGGCUCACAGGCUGCUCUGAACAUCCCAGCACUUAGUAACGGGUGAAGACCAAAAGAUGAUGAUUUUAGCCCUUCCAGGUGGUCAGUUCUGAUUUUAGCCAGAUGUUCCCACCUCCACCUCAUCUCAGAUGUGGAACAAGAUGAAGGAUAGAGAGAUCUAGAACACAAUCCUGGGUCUGAUCCUUGUUGUUGUGAAGGAGGUUAGAGCAGACGUGCUCUUUGCUGAGCAGGAGGACAGUGAUUUCUUUAAUGCAUGCAGGGCAGCAGAAAAGCAUAUGUACCUAAAGGUUGGGCUAACAACAACUAGCUGUCAAAGGCUUCAAUCUAUUUUCCCCUAUUGGGAGUGUUUUGCCACACUGUUCCUAAAGCAAUUCCUGGGCUCUGUUCGGCCAGCAGGUGUUUCUCUGUGGAUUUGAUUUUGUGUUCUGUUUUGGGUUUUUUUUUGCCUGUUGCUCUACAGUAAGUAGAUUAGCCAUGAUUUAUUUGAGAUAGGACUGCAGCUGGUGAUCUGUGUGCUGUUGUGGAUGUAGGAGCUGCGUGAUCUUAUGACACAAGGUGAUUGCUGCGCAGCAUGAGGGGACAGAUUAGGAUAAAUGACAUGGAGGAGUCUGAGUCCACCAGUGGGCUGCAGGCCUGCUAGCUGACGGGGGAUGCAGGUGGGAUGAUCUGCACUUCUAAACACAGCCUCUCCCUGCACCCUCAUGAUUAAGGACAGUGCUGUGGCAGACAUGUCUCUAUUUUUAUUCUGUUUUUAUUUUUUUUAGGAGGAGAUAGGGAACAAAGAAGGGAACCAAUCCUCCUGCGGAAGUAGGGAAGCACUGAGGAGCCAGCCAGCAGAGGCAGCACUUCUGCCACCAAGAGCAAGGGCUGCUUGGGCAUCACCGAGGUUGGAAAAGACCACUAAGAUCAUCUAGUCCAACCCCCAACCCAGCAUGGGAUGGUGCUGUCAUGAUCCUCCUGGUGACUGACACUUUGGCCUAGAAGUCUGUGAGAUGGUUGUUGAUGGGAGGAUCCAUUGCACCUGGCCAGGAGGAUGACACAGUCAUGCUGCGUGCUCGUGUCUCAACCCAGAAGCUUUUGAAGAGUGUACAGGAAAGGGUCAUCUUGAAGCAACCUUUGUCCCUUUGAAGGCCUGAGAGACACAGAUCCUGUCUAGAUACUGAAAGGCCACUAUCGGGUCAGCUCUCAAGCUUCUCUUCUCCAGGCUGAACAGCCUUAUCUCUCUCAGCCUGUCCUCGCAGGAGAUGUUUUCCAUUCCAUGGAUCAUUUUUGUGGCCCUCCUCUGGAUGCACUCCAACAGGUCUACAUCUCUCCUGUACUGAAGGCACCACAUCUGGACGUAAUACACCAGGCAGUGUGAGCUGCAUGAGAAAGAAGCAAAAGAUGCUCUCCAGCCCCUGGCCGUGCAGGCUUUGGGAGGGAAAAGGGCUCCCUUCUCCCCAUGGUGACUCACCUCCAAAUUACACCAGGAUUGCUGAACCUGAUGCUUCGUGUGCAGCAAUUUGCACAUUGCAACGAGGAAAUUAAGCCAAAGCAGAGCACCUACCUCAUGCAAACGUGACCUCUGUGCCCAGCAGCCAUUCGACACUCUCCAUUAAACAACUCUACCUGCAAUUAAAAUCAUCCAAAGCAAGACUUUGAACUGCUGGGCCUUAGGAUUACAGCUCCAGAGGGACCAGUAAACGCAAGAUACGUAUGUUUCUCCCCUCCUGCUUUCUUCUGUGCCUCUCCUCUAAAGAAGAGUUCUGAAUGAGUCUGAAGGAAUUAACAAGAGCCUGGAGCUGGGUAUAGAAUGACAGAAUCACAGGUGCUGUAAUUAUAUUCUACAUGGUCAUCAUCAGGCUGUAAUGGCUUCUCCUCAUACUGGGGCACAACCAGCUCUUGCUUUCUCUUCUUUUGCUGGUAGGUACACCUACCUGUCACAGCUCCAGCACCUUCUGGCACACAGGAGAUGUCAAGGGAUGCUACUGGGCUCGAAAUCGAUCCAAAGUGAUGCUUCUCAUGUAUGUUGCUGACAGCAAACCCUCGCCUUGGCUGAGCUACUGUUAUGCAGGACGUUUUAAGGAAUGAUAAAUGGGAUGGAUUGCUGAUGCUUCUUAAACAUGUCCAGUUUUACAUACAGGUCCAGCUUUCUGCCUUUUACGAGUAGCAUUUCACUUUACGAACUGAGUUAGGGAUUUUAUUUUGCCUUCCCUUCACGUAAUUCCUGUUUAUUAUACAACCUCUCCUUAUUGAUGCAGUAUCUUUAACAAUAAAUGAUGCAUGAGCGAUCUGAACAGUUA